rnacentral:rRNA from 1 species
GUGUCAGCCGCCGCGGUAAGACGUAGGGGGCGAGCGUUGUCCGGAUUUACUGGGCGUAAAGCGCGCGUAGGCGGUCAGGUAAGUCGUAGGUGAAAUCCCUGGGCUCAACCCGGGAACUGCUUGCGAAACUGCUUGGCUAGAGUACGGGAGAGGAGAGUGGAAUUGCUGGUGGAGCGGUGAAAUGCGUAGAUAUCAGCAAGAACGCCUGUGGCGAAGGCUGCUCUCUGGAACGCUACUGACGCUGAGGCGCGAAAGCUAGGGGAGCGAACGGGAUUAGAUACCCCGGUAGUCCUAGCUGUAAACGAUGGGCACUAGGUGUUGGGAGUAUCGACCCUCCCAGUGCUGGUAUGCUAACGCGUUAAGUGCCCCGCCUGGGGAGUACGGCCGCAAGGUUGAAACUUAAAUGAAUUGACGGGG